GCAGGUUCUCAAUGAUGACUGACGCGGGUUUGGGUGAUACCCCUCACAGUCCCUGUCAUUCCGGAGUGAUAAGGCACCCGCGCGUCUAGCCCCAGCGCCAGGGCACGCGAGCGGCGCUGGAGGGAGGAAAGCUUCCGCCUGCGGGCCGGACAAAAGUCCCGCCUGCCCACGGCUUUCUGCCCGCCGCUCGUGACAGAGACGCCUCGCCGCGGCCAGCUCGCUGCUCUCGCGGGCGGAUGGUGUGUGGCCGCCGCAGGACGCCCGCCGCGCCUGGGCCAUGAAGUAGCGGCUGCUGGCGGCGCCGCUGCCCAACCGCCGGCCCCAGCCCCGCGCUGCGCUGCCCGGUCCUCUCCCGGCGGGGUCGGAUCGGCGUGGACAUGGCUGGCCGCGUCCCCAGCCUGCUAGUUCUCCUUGUUUUUCCAAGCAGCUGUCUGGCUUUCCGAAGCCCACUUUCUGUCUUUAAGAGGUUUAAAGAAACUACCAGACCAUUUUCCAAUGAAUGUCUUGGUACCACCAGACCCGUAAUUCCUAUUGAUUCAUCAGAUUUUGCAUUGGAUAUUCGCAUGCCUGGGGUUACACCUAAACAGGCUAGCUUGACUUUGAGUUUAAACCUCACUGCAGAAGGGGAGAAAACCAACAGCCUUUUGGGCACCAGCUGGUAGGAUAUCUAUUAUACUCUUCUUGAGAAAAUGGAUCCAAGCUCUUCGCGAAGCAGCUGUGCGAUUGCUGGGAAGUGCCUAAAGAAGAUCCCCAUCCAACUCCAGGAGCCCCAUGGAUUUCCUUAUCACCUCUGUGUGGUCAGCAGCCAUGGUCCAGCCUACCUUCCCUAGUGCUGUGAUCUGUCCACCACUACAGGCCCCACCCUCAUCUAAUUGAAUCUGUACAGUAGAAUAGACAUAGCAAAUUAGGGUUACUUCUUGAGUCAGAUACAUUUGAUUGGGAAGAGCUGCCUGGAACGUGUUAAGAAUUAUGAGACCACAUUGGGACUUGAUGGGAAAGGGUGCAGCGACCCAUAAGCGACAUCUGCCACGAAUGUGAAAGAUAAAAGUCACUCCAGUGGCCGGCCUCUAGAAAGAACAAUCCUGGGUGAAGAUUGAUU
rnacentral:sRNA from 1 species